GGGCCGCAGCGGGAUGGGCUGAAGCCGCCAGCCCGGGGAGACGCUGGAGGCCGCGGGCCGAAGAGAAGCUCUGCGGGGACAGCUCCGCAACUCUCAGCGGCGGGCCGCCGCAGCACGCCGGCGAGGCUGGGAAGAGCUCCCCGGCGGCCCGGGCCUCGUGGGGUCCUCCCAGAGGAGGAGGCAAUGGGCGCGCACCGGGAGAAUGCGCCGCUCCUCCAGCGGCGGCCGGGCCGAGCCACAGACUUCCUCAGAGGUCGCGGGACGCGAGCUUUCAUCCUCUCUAUGCGACCGCUGACCUCUCUGGUAACUUUUCCGUGGAAUGUGAAGUGGAAAAGGGGACCCAGGACUUCGUCCACUCUUGCAGUUCUUGCUGCUCCUACGAGAGGCUUGAGCCUUCUGCGGUGGAGCUGCACAGCCCUGCCCACCUUUCUCUCUGCAGAGAGCUGAGGUGGGCCAGGGACACAGUCAGCAGCGGCCUGGACUUGAGCUAGCCCUGAGUCACUGUACACUGUUUUCCUUAGCAGCACUUGUCUGGUAAGGGGGUUGUAAUAAUGAAGUGAUUUAGUGCACACAGAGCACUUCCAGCUGGAUGUGGCAUCUGCCACACACUGUGCCAUGGGGACUUAUGCAGAGAAGGUCCCAGCGCACCUGGGCACAUGGCCUGCCCUAAAGGAUCAGGUGGAAGUGCCAGGAAAGACCUCGGGGAGAGAAAGAUACUGAAAGAGGAGAAAGAGAUUUUAGGGGAGGAGGUAUUAACCACUAGAAAGGGAAGGAAAAGAAAAAUAGAGGUAUUCAGAGAAACCAUGAGAACAAAACAAAGCACAUGGAUAUACAAGUGUCCUCUCAGCCCCACUGGGCACUGGGCAGCAUAUUGCUUGCUGUCAGGUGUUUGAGAGACCUGUACUGAACUCACUUGUCCACCAAUAGGUUUUGGUUUUGAUGGAAGAUGGAACCUGGGAAGAAAGCUUUGCUCUUUCUGAAACUCUAGUGAGACUUUUCUGUGCCUGACACUCUCCAGAAUGCUUUGUCAGAGAGGAGGAGAGCAUAGUUCCAGGAGCCCCCACACUAGCCCUCUUCAGCGUGGUCCUGAAGUGUCUUCUGGCGCGGAUCAUUGGGAUUAUUAGCACCCAGAGGUGUGGCUCAUACUCAUCACCUUGGGUGGCCAUGCUCCUGAUUUCACAGGGACCUGGGGCCAUAGAUUUGCCCAUCUUCCCUGCUGUGCAGCCAGGUCUGCUGUAGAUGGGAGUGUGCUGUGUAUGGCUGAUCUCAGUUCUUGGCAGAUCCGUGCGGUAGAUCCUCAGAUACUGGAUGGAUUAACGAAAAAAUGUCACUGCUUGCAAGAAGAAUGGAAAAAUACUGUAUUGAUGUUAAGACUACUGUAUCCUAGUACAGUCUAUGGAGAGAAGUUCUCAUCAGGCCAAUAAGUAUCCCUAGCUUGCCCAGGUGUUCAGUUUACACCCAGCUCAGUUGCAUCCGUGGGUUCUUCGCAGGUCCCCUGGCUGACUCCACAGUGAGGUGGAAAGUCCCUGUUAAGUAAUGCUGUGAAAAACACUUGGUUAUUUAUAGCAGAGGGUGAACCUCAUAUGCAUCUAGUCCCAGUCUGGUGGGUUAACCCAGGCAAGGCUACUUCUCUCUGACUCCCUUAUCUUCUGUUAGAAUACAUUUCUUCCCAAGAAGCAGAAAGGGCCUCUCUCCCCUGUCCUGUCUUGCUUCUUUCUUCCUUCCUUUCUUUUCCCUUCCAUCCUUUCUGUUUUCUUCCCUUUUUUUAGCUGUGAUAUUUUCUGCAAGCAGUAUUUCUGACACUUGGAGCAUUUCCAGGAGAGAGCUGUGUGCCAGAGGUGUGUGCCUUCCUUUCGGUGCCUCUGAAUGUGCCUCCCAGAACACCCUGCUGGAAAACAGCUGGUCUUAGUCACGGUGGGGAGUGCCUGCCAGCAGGUCCCCUGGGAGCCCUGACAUUGAUUCAGUGCUCACUGUCAUCUCCCACGUGUUCAGAGCUCCAGCCUUGUUCUCAGUAAUGACUGUUAAGGAAAUUGAUUGCAUCCUACCCCUUUCCUUGGCAAGGUCCUAAUGGGUUCUGGUCCCAUUUGAGUGAUUGCUCAGGGAAGGGUGGGCCUGCCUGGUUGCUUGGGGAAGAGUGCAGAGGGGCCCGGCACAUAGUGGUCUGUGUUUUAGACAGUGCUGUCCUCAGGUUUAUUUUUUUUUUUCCUCAGUUCUUGAGGUUGUUUACAACUCAAGUUUCCUUUGGAAAAAAAAGAGUGAGCUUGGGGUGGGCAGAAUGAAGCUGUGACUGGAGAGUGAAGGAUAGACUGGUGUCUCCAUGUGUCUGUCUCUCCGUGCUUGUGUGAGUGUCCUGUGUGUCUCUGUUCCCUCCUUGUCCACAGGCUUUCUCUGCUAAGUCCUGGGCAGCCCUUAAAUUUUUCUGCAUAGUUUGUUGGUAUAGCCCCUCUGUACUUAGCUUCACUGCUGCCUGUUGAUCCACUCCAUAUUUUAGAUUUUCAAGGAGAGGAAUCAGAUUGACAUACCCCAUCCUCAGGGUCACAGGUCACCAGUUCAACCUGCAUAGGCUUCCCAAGUAGCAUAUGUCCACUCCCUAGGUGACCCUGCACAAGGAGAGCUAUCCUAGAGGUCUUGCACUGAAAGAUGCAGGGCACAUAACCUUAAGCACCUCCUCCUCGUGAUUCACCUGAGGAUCUUGACGGGCACUUCUGUUAGCAAAACUAGUUGGCAGAACUCAUGCAAUGUAGGUUACCCACAUAUAUUAGACUCAAGAUCUGAACUAAGCCAGCUCAUUAGGCUCAGUCACUCAUGAUCACCCUAAUCUCUUUGCCAGAAAUUGGCUCAGGAGUGAGAUUUAAUCCCUGUUUGGACCACCAAGACAGGGAGACAAAUAUGCUUGAGUUUCCUGGGGGAAAAAAUGUUCUUAAGAAUAAACCCUGAGCCAGGCUGUGAUCCCAACACUUUAGGAGGCUGAGGCAGAACGUUUACAAAUUUGAGGCCACUCUGUGCCAGGUAGCACUUAGCAAGACCCUUCCUCAGGUUUAUUCCUAUGAGCCACCUUCACUGGUAUCCUUGUGUGGCUCUAAUCUUCUCCAUGUUUAAAAUCCUACCUUCUCUUAGAUCCGGUGCUGCCUCAUCCCUUUGCAGUAGCUUGCUUAUUAAGUAAUAUUUCUCAUUAGUAUGCAGAGAUCCUGAAGAAGUACAAUUCCUCUUUCAUCCUUCUAAUAAAAAUUGGAUGCACCCACUAUUUGUCAGAUUCUAUACUAAGUGAUAGGGACGUGAAGGUGAGCACGACAUAGUUCCCAUUCUCAGAGAGUUCCCAGUUGGUCAGGGAAAUAGUCAUUUCCCCAUCUGGGGGUAGUGCUGUGAUAGGGCCCCUGACUGUCAUCUGAGGGUCCACUUCCAGGGUCAGGUCCCCCAAGCACUCACUGUGAAUUAAGCGUGUGUCUUGUAAUCCCGCAGAAGCCAUGCAAUCAGGUGGAAGAGUGUAGGCUUUGUUUGAGAGCAGGUGGAAGCUCUGGAAAGUUCUCCAUUAUUGGCACCGUCAGUGGAAACAUUUUCGAAUGCUUUCAGUCAUCUGGCUGAAGGAACUGGCCUGGGAGAAACCUAGGGGGUAGAUGUGCUUCUGAAGCGGUGAAGUAGACAGGUCAUAGGCCUGAAGAAGGGUUGGGGCUUAUACUUUUCCACCAGCAAAUAGAGGCAUUGCCAUUGACAUUGUCCCCAGGGGCCACCUCUUGCAUUUUCCUGCAGCAGAAUCCCCCCCCUCCUUUUUAAUGUGUUUCAUUUUGCUUUAAACACAGUUGAUAUCUAGAGAGGGAACGACAUCUUUGAUGGCAAAGUUAAAAACUUGAGAGAUCUUAAUCCCUGACCGCAUUUUUGAGCAGUGGGAAUCAAUGACAGCAGGAUCUUAUCUUGGGAUCCCUUGUGAGAAAAUUUGUGACAACAAUUACUCCUUUUCUUAUUGAGGUUCUCUGUUACUUAACCCACAUCAAAUCCUGACACUUGGGUAGGUAGUGACAGUCUGAAAAUAUGGCAGCUCCCAGGAAGAAGGAAAAGAGGUGAGCACUGUUUUGUGGAACAUUCAAUCACAGCUCAUUUCCAGUGACCAAUCUCAAAUGCCACCCAUGUCAAAAGUAGACACAUAAGACAGUCAUUGUAUUGUGAUAAUGGGUUCAGUGGGUCAGGGAUUCAGACAGAACUCAGCAGAGUGGUUUAUCUCAGCUCCACCAUUCAGAGAAGACUGGAAGCUGAAGAUUGUUGAGAUGUCUGUGGGUUCUUCACUCGUGACUGUAAGCUCAGGAGUGUGCUGACGUGAAGGUUGGGCUCAGAAAGUUCUGUCCAGGGGAGCACAUCUGUGUGAUCUGUAUUUGGGGCUGGAGCCUCAUACAGCUUGACAGCUAGGUUCUGAGACAGUGUUCCAACAGGAUCAGGUAGACGCCGCAGGCCUCUUUAAAGGUAGCUUCACAAGUAACAUAACAUCACUUCAUCCUAUAAUUAUUCGUUAUUAUCCACAGAAGCUGACUCCAGGAAACUUCCUCAGAUAUCAAAAUCUGCCAAAGCUCAAAUCCCUUGUAUGAAAUAGAAUAAUAUUUGCCUAAGACAUACACAUUUUCUCUCAUAUACUUUAGAUCAUCUCCAAAUUGCAGUGUAAAUGCGAUAUAAAUAGUUGUUUUGCUGCAUUGGUUAGGGAAUGAAGUACAAAAGAGUCUCUACUUCAGAACAGAUACAGUUUUUUCAGAUAUUUUUGAACUAAGGCUCAUGAAUAUGUGGAUACCCACAGGACAGGUGGCAAAGAGUUUGUGGCAGUGUUUAAAGAAGUUACAGGCUUUCAGGCAUUUUGAGGAUUGGGAUUAGACUAAAUUCACAGUCAAAAGGUGGGGUGGUGGAAGCCAGGUGUAAGUGAAAUGGUCUGGAGAUACUGUGGGAAAUACAAAGAGCCCAGGAGGGAUCCCAGAGAAAAGGCUAUUCUCUAAAGGCUAUGGAAUGAAGCUUUAACUUAAGCUCUAUAGAUACCGCCCCUGUAGGCAGUGGUUCUUUGAUCUGGCCAAGCAGAAGAAAGAUAACAGCUCUCUGAGCCUCUUAACUACCUCUUGGUAUCAGGCAAGAACCCUGAGUCCUGCUUCUCAAACUUUAAUGUGUACAAGAAUGAUUUCAGGAGAUUUAUUCUAACCCCCCAGCCCUCCCCUAGAGGGUCUUGAGUCAGUGGACCUACACUGGGCUCUGGAUUCUGUCUUUUUAAAACAGGUUGCCAUUGUUAUCUGGCUACAAGACUGGGCUGACCAUAUUUAGAGAUGUUAGUUUUCUUGUGUAUAUAUUUAGAAAGUUAAUUUCAAGCAGGAUUUGCAAGCUAUGUUCUAUGGGACGUGAGAGACUCCAUACAGGAUACCCAUAGGCACCAGCGGAUUUAGUAGAUACUCAUUGAAUGUCUGCUCUUUGCCUAGUGCAGGGCUGAAUAUUAGGGAUACACAGUAUUCAAGAUCAUCUCCUGGUCUGCUCCCUGGAGCAGCACUAAGGAAGAAUGGUCGUGGUGAAAGGUGUUUCAGAGGAGAAACACAGGCUUGUGCAGAGUCCAGGCAGGAAAACAGAGCUAGUUUAACUUCUGAGCUUCCUCUCACACUGCACUGAGGACAGACUCUUCCCAGACUGAAACUCCUGGCUUGGGGGAUCUGUAAGAGUCUUUGCAGAUGGAAACAUUUUGGUCUAUGAGUCAACUUGGGAAUUCUGCCUUAAAAAAGGCAGAAGGCAAUUACUGUGUUUAAAAUCUGCCUGAGAUCACAAGCUUACUACCUUCACUGUUGUAAAAGUAAUUAGGGGGCUCUUUAGCUAUAAAAAAAUGUUUUGGGUCGUGGUUUGAGGAUAUUUAAAAACAAACCUCUAAAAAAAAAAAAAAAAGCACUUGGAAACCCAGCAUUAUUUGCAUCUCAAAUGACCAGCAAUGAUGAACUUUUUUUUUUUUUUUUUUUUUUUUGUCUUAAAUAGACAAAUGCUGUUUCUGCCUUGUUCAUCUGAGAAGUGAGUAUUCAACUCAGAUGCCCAUCUUUGGAUUGAGUAUUUAAAUUUGGGAAACCUGACUUUUUUUUUUUAAGUUAUUUAUAAAUUCUAGGUAGUAGUCUUUUGUCUGAGGAACAGCUGAAAAACAUUUUUCCCACACUGUGGGUUGUCUCUUCACUCUGUUGGUGUGCAAAAGCUUUUUAGUAAGAUGAGCUCCCAGGUGUUGAUUCUUUGUAAUAGUUCUUAUGGGACUGGGGUUUCGUUCAUAAGGUCUUAGGUUACACCCAUGUCUUCAAGAGUUCCAUGUGUUCUUUCUUCUAGCAUAUUCAGUGUUUCUGGUUUAUUAUUUAGAUCUUUAAUCCAUUUUGAUUUUAGUUUAGUGCAUGGUAAGAGAUAUGUGUCUAGUUUUAUGUGAAAAGCCAGUUUUUCCAGCAUCAUUUAUUAAAGAGACUAUCUUCCAGUGAAGGUGUUUGGCUCUUUUGCCAAAGAUAAGGUGACUGAGUGUGUCUGGAGUUGUUUCCGCACCUUCUGAUCUGUUCCUUUGAUACUCAAGUCUGUUUUUGUUGUUGUUGUUUGUUUGUUUGUUUGUUUUGUCAGUACCAUGCUGUUUUUAAUCACACUACCUUGGUAGUGUAAUUUCAAGUCAAGGAUUGUGAUGCUUCCUGUCUUGUCCUUGUCUCACUCCAGAAAGAAAGUCUAUUACCAAGAAAUCAACCAAUAACAAAUGCCAGUCGGACUGUAGGGGAAAAGGAAUACUUUUCCACUGUUGCAGGGAAUGCAGGCUAGCACAACCACUGUGGAAAUCAGUGUGGAGAUUCCUCAAAAAAACUAAAACAAAGGUUCUAUUUGACCCAGCUAUUUCCCUUCUUAGUGUCUUCUCAGAAGAAUUGAAAGCAUCAUGCCAAAGCAAUAUAUGCACACCCAUAUUUAUAGUGGCACAGUUUGUAAUAGCUAAAUCUUGGAAACAGCACAAAUGCCCAUGAAUUGAUGAAUGAAUAAAUAAGAUGUGGAAUAUAUAUGUAUAUGUAUUAUAUAUAUGUGUGUGUAUUACUCUGCCAUAAAAAAGGAUAAACUUGAGACCUUUCUAGGUAAAUGGAUGCCUCUUGAGACUGUAUUCUUAAAUGAAAUAAACUUGACACAUGUAUGUAAAUACCACGUUGUUUUUCUGGUGUGAGAAACCAAAAGUGUCAGUAAGGACCAAAGUGUAUAGUAGAUACUGUGAAAGAGGAAGAAAAGUUCAAAUGAUAAGGGGAACUAGGAAUGGGGGGAGGGAAAGGAAGGAGGGGCAAAGAAGGAAGGGAAAUGGAAAAUGGGAAAAGGAGAAAUAAAGAAGGGAGAAACGAGAAAAAAACUCUUGUAAAUAAAGAGUAGAAGAGGGAUUGAGGGGAGGAGAAGAGAAUGGGGAAAAAGAAUAAAGAUAUGUGCAAGUGCAAAUUCCCUAUGAUGAAAGUGAUCAUUAUGUAUAGCUAAGAUGUACUAAUAAACUUAAUUAAAAACAAAAA